rnacentral:tRNA from 1 species
AGGAUGGUAGUUAAUUAUAACAUUUGGGUUGCAUUCAAAAAGUAUUGAUACUUCAAUUCAUCUUA